CGCAAAGUUCGUGUUUUAAAUGUU
rnacentral:siRNA from 1 species